CCAAGAACAAUCUUUGUGACAAUGUCUGCAUCUGUUGACUAAAAUUUGAAACCUAUUUAGCUUUUUAACAAGGUCAACAGUUUUCAUCAACUUGUAGUCGCCAAAUAUAAUUAAACAUUAGUAAAUACUGACUAAAUUAGUUAAAUCAAUCUGUCUUUAUUCAAAAGAUAAGUGUUUAUUUCCGCGAAAAUGGUCAACACUUUGUUUUUCGCAAUCACAACGUUACAUGAACAUGGAUGACCUAAAAUGCGAAUACGUAAAGAAAAAAAGAUGCCUAAGAUGGUCUCAAGAAAUGAUAGUGGGAAAAUAUGGGAGUGAUCAAAACUUUUACUGUGCCGAAUCAAACAUGAAAGUGUAAACUAUCGUUUUAUGAAUAGUGAGUGCCUGAAUAUCAAAAGUGAAAAUGUGAUGUGUCAAACUGAUUGUUUACUUCGCGACAGACAGGUGACGGUGAGUGGUUUAUAGAAGUGGUUCGCGAGGGCGGAGGGUGACGGGCGGUAUGUCGAGCCGUUCGAGUCCCCUCAACGGCGGCUACGACGCUGCCGAGCCCGCUGUGAGGCUCUCGGUCCGCAAAGAUCUGUUCCCUCAGGAUGGUCUCUCCGAUGCAGCCUCCGACUCGGACUCGGAACCUCUGCAGGAGGAUUUCGACAGAGUCUCCUGCGUUAAGCUAGAGACAGAUUUCGAGCAGAGCAUCGACGAAAUCGCCCACCAAAAGAUGAAGGUGAUCAAUGGAGCUCUCCCGUCCGCACCUCGGUCGCGCCAUAAAAAACACAAGCAGCAUUCGAAACGCGAUAAAGACUCACCUCCCAACGGUUGUCCUCCUAAAGAAAAGAAAAAGAAGAAAAAGUCGCACGAAUCACAUAAAAGGACGCAUUCUUCGAAUAGUGUAGUGUCACAAGUAAAGGGUGGUAAAAAUUUAAAUUUAGUGAGUAGUAGUGAGUGCCAGGAGGAGGAGCUAGCCGAGUGCGAGGACGAGAGCGAGACCUCCGAGGAUGAAGUGUUACAUAGUAUGAAGUUACCCAUAAUUAAUAUAUCGAGGCAAAGUGGCAAACCGUACAGCCAUGAACUUAGUCAAUUAUCAUCCAAAAAGAGUAAAAACAAGGACUCCUCUAAGGAACAAAGGACACAUAUAGUGAUACCCUCCAGUGGUAAACCGCGUUCUAUGUUGGGUCUCUGUAGUUCUCGUAGUAAAAAGAAAUCUAAGAAGACUGAACGCGCAGCUGUUUACAGGAGCCAGAUCGUGGACUCAAAUACCAAACUUAAGAUUAAGAUUAGAAGAACAAGGGAACAGGACACUGUUGUGCCAACACCGAAACUAAUAUCCGAUUUAGGGCAAAGAAAAUCCAAAAAGAAAAGAGCCUACUCCCCAGCCCCUAGUAACAGUUCCGGGGAGGAGUAUGAUCCAACUAAAGGUGAUACGGCUGCCUCAAUAAGUGUGGCUGCCCCAAAACCACGGCAUUCACAGCCCAAAACGCGAAAAUCAAACAAUAAUAACCCUAAAAGUAAAGAUAAAGCUCAAAAGACUGAAAAAAGUAGAGUAAAUGUAGAGCAAGCUAAGGAUAUUGGACCACAGAGCCCGUGGGCAAAUGCCUUGCCUGAAGAAGUAUUGGCUAGGAUUUUUGACUAUGCUACUCAAGCAGGCUCUUUACCAACUAUUGUAAGAUUAAGUAGAGUAUGCAGACUGUGGUACAAUGUGAGCUGUCGGCCCGAGUUUUGGAAGCAUAUGGAUCUCGCUCAAUAUGCGAUUGAAAAGUUCAAAACUGAUUACAAGCUAGUGUGGAUUCUUGAAAAUAGGCUGUCGCAAUGUCAAGUUCUCAAUAUAGCCCAGUGGAAGGUGAGCAACGUGUCGUGGGUGCUGGCGUGCGUGGCCGACUACUGCCCCGGGCUAGUGGAGCUCAGCGUGGCCGGCUGGAGCCGCAUCACAUCCGAACAACUGUACGAGCUCAUGCAGGGGUUGCCGGCGCUCCAGCGGCUGGAUCUGUCGCUUACGUCUGAGACGGGCGGUUCUUCCACGUGUCUGUCAGCGGCGUCGAUGGCGCGAGUGGCGGCGGCGUUCGGCGCGCGGCUCACACACCUCAUACUCGCCAACAACAAGUUCACCGCGCUCACGCAGAUACUCACUUCUGUUGCGACGCACUGUGCUAAUCUCGAGGUAUUGGACAUAUCGGGUGCACUGGCGAUAUCUCACCCCGCGCCGAUACCGCUGGAGGCGCUGCAGAAGGGCUGCCCCAAGCUGCGCGUCUUCCGCGCCGCCAACUCGCAGCUCGUGCUGGCCUCAGCCACCACCUCGCAGCAGAUGGAGUCCGGCGGUUGGAGUCAACUAGAAGAACUAUCUAUAGCUGGCAAUGCGACGGUGGAACGCGAAGCUCUCGGCGAGUACAGGUUCGGUGACGAGGCUUUGGCUCGCCUCGUCCGAGCUGCGACUAGACUCCGGCUGUUGGAUCUGAGAAACCUGCAGCGAUUGACAGACAGCGGCCUCGUGAGAGUCCCAGCGUGGGACUUGCAGCAUCUGUUCCUUGGAGGUUGUAACGUCACUCGUCAAAACAACGCCUGUUUGGAACUGAUAUGUGAGAAGUGGUCGCACAGUUUACUAGAGCUGGACCUGUCCUGGGCGUCGGCGGCCAAAGUCCUCGACGACGCGGUGUCUGCACUCGCUGACUCACCCAAUAGCAAACUAAGAAUUCUCAACUUGUGCGGCUCGUCUGUGUCGUUCGAAGCUGUCAAAAAGGUGCUGUUAAAGUGCCCGCAUUUAGAGUCCAUCAACCUCAGCUCGUGUCGAGCCCUCCCCCGGGGUAUAAAGAGACUUUUCACUGGAACCGAUCUUCAGAAUCUCAAGGACAGUCUCGAUCCAGAGAAGGAAGCGAAGGCCAAGGAGGAGGAAACCAAGAAGAAAAAGUCGAAGAAAACUGAAGCCUCAAAACCAGCGUCGAGUGAGAGUGACUCCGUCAGCACCGCGGCUGAAACUUCCAAGUUAGAAAACACUCCCCCCAUUAAGUCCCCCGAGACUGUUUUCCAGGAGCCAAAAAGUGUAUCGGACAGCAGCAUGUUGCUCGAUAAAGUUUCGCCUGCUGAAGCUAAAUUAAAGUCUCCGACAGCUAAAUCUGAGACAGCCGGCUCCGAGACGCUUCCGACGUCAGUCGAAAGGAAACACAGUUCCAGAGGAUCAACACCGAACUUAUCUAGUCCCCUCGCCCAGUCCAAGCCCGACUCCUCCUCCACCCCGAGCUCGGACCCCUUCAAGACCGACUUCGGGAGCCCCCAUUUCAGUCCCGUCCAGAAACCGGAUAGCCAGGUGCCCCACAGCCCCGGAGUCGCGUCGGAGCCCAUGAAGACCAGCCCGUGGAGCCUCGGGUCGUUCAAGCGCACCCCGACUCACAAGUCAGAGGCCAGCCCGCUCAAUAGAUUGGAGGGCCCCACAAAGCUCAAACACGGGAAAGUCGUCGAGCAGUGCAGCCCGACGACCUCGCUGGAGAACAAGCCGAGCCCCGAAACUUUGGGCGUCAAACAGAAGGAGCAGGACAUAAAACAUCCCAACAACUGGAGCUACGCCCGCCAGGAGUCCAGCCCGAUGAGGCGCCAGGAGGCCCAGUUCGCCUCGCAGCGGAGCCCCUACUCUGCGCAACCGAGCCCGGCCCAGCCGAGCCCCUACUCGACACAGCCGAGCCCUUACUCGACCCAGCCCAGCCCAUACUCGUCGCAGCCCAGCCCGUACUCCGCGCAGCCCAGCCCCGACACCAGCCAGAUCGCGAAGCCCGAGCUGCAGAAGACGGGCUGGAACACCGGCGGCUACAGCCCCAUGCGGAAACACCCCGCGCCGUUUUCCCCGCACCCCGCGACCCUCGCGAGCCCCGACCCCGGCCUCGGGCUCAAGGUCGACGGCGUGAUCAUGAGCAACCCCAACAAGACGCCGGUCCAGUACAGCCCGAUGUCGCGGCCGCAGCACCCCAGCCCGUACUCGCCGCGGCCCGGCGUCGACCCCGGCUACGUCGCCCGCCGGAGCCCCGGCGUCGGCGGGUACAGCCCCAUGGUCCGGCCGGACUGCCACCUGCCCAGCCCGGACGCGGCGCCGCCCCGCCCCCCGGCCCGCCAGGACGCGUACGGCCGCACCAUGGCGCUCAAGAUGCCGGAGGGGCCGCCCACCGCGCCGCCACCGGAGAUCCCCGGCUGGGGCGCGGACCGGUUCGGCCAGAUGAGCGCCGCCACCGCGCAGAGCAUCGAGUCGCUCGUGUGGAGCGAGCUGGAGGCGGGCAUGCUCAACACGCCGCCGCCGCAGCCCUGGAGCCAGUCGCCGUUCGACGGCGGCCCCCGCCGCGCCCCUGACGCCGGCGACCCGUGGACGCUGAGCCAGUUCCGGAUGGAGCCGCCGACGCCGGACCAGCACACGUUCGUGGAGCAGAACGUCAGCUUCGAGUCACUCAGCACGCACCUGAGCCACCAGCACGCGCUGCAGAGCUACCUGGACGACAACUUCAGCGAGACGUCGCGCGUGGACUGACGGGGCCCCGCGCCCCGCCCUCUCGCCUCGUCGCCUACGUCUCUCGGUAGAUCCCCUCUAGGGUAACGCUCCUAUAAAUUUGAACAAUUACUAUUAGAUAUUGUAAAUAAGAGUAUUUAGAUAGGUGUAAGUGUAACGAGCUAGGUGCGUCUUUCAGCCUAUGUGAUCGCAUUCGGACGAGUUCGAUCGACGGAGUGUAUAGGUGUCUUAUUCGUAGUGAAAUACGUUUUGCGUCGCGAUCUGUUGUAAUAGUGUUCUAUUGUAGUUUUGUAUUUAUAUAUCUACCUUUUGGCUGUAAAUGAUUUUAUUUGCGAUGAAUUCGAAGCAAUAAUAUUUUUAACGCUAGACGCGGCAUAGUGGUGCUACCCGCCCGAGUGAAGUGUCACUUACAUGCAAUAUUCCAUUACUGAAAUCGUUUAAUUUACACACAUUCCUGUUUUUACUAAGUGCACUCGCACCGUACAUUUACACAAGAAUGAGCGGAUGCCACAUUGCUUUCUUGUGUUGUGUCUAUGCUGUCGUGUUAUAAAAUUUGAUAUAUCACAUUAAUUUGUUACGUUAUUAGACAUGGCUCAGGAGAUAAAGUGGGAGAAAAAAUUACUCGCUAUGCUGUCACAGUCUUGUGUUGUCGCUAGUCGCCUCAACACAAAUUCAAAAUUAAAAAAAAAAAAAACAAAUGUGACAUACGAUGUUAUGCCGAUGCGACGACGCGACUCUCUGAAGCAAUGUGGCCUGGCUCUAAAAGAGUAUAGCGGUCGGGCUUAGUAAGCCGGCGAUAUUGUUAGGGAUGCAUUACAUAGAAUAUAAGAUAAAAUGAUCUGAGUUUCACACGAGCAACAAUUAUGUAAAGCUUUGCCAUGUUGAUUUGUAAAAAGAAUUAUUUAUUUGUAAAAUUUACUGCUAAAUUAUAUUUACUGGGUUAUCAUCGAAUCUGCGUACACUAGUUAAGAUAACGUAUAAGAUUUAAACACCAAAAUGUUGCAAUAAAUCGUCUUGUAAGAUAGAAGUAAUAUCUAUAUCUACAGAUAGACAUAGCACAGUUCUA